rnacentral:rRNA from 1 species
UACGGAGGGUGCGAGCGUUGUUCGGAAUCACUGGGCGUAAGGCGCACGUAGGCGGAUUUGCCAGUCAGGGGUGAAAUCCCGGGGCUCAACCCCAGAACUGCCUUUGAUACUGAGAAGCUUGAGUCCGGGAGAGGUGAGUGGAACUGCGAGUGUAGAGGUGAAAUUCGUAGAUAUUCGCAAGAACACCAGUGGCGAAGGCGGCUCACUGGCCCGGUACUGACGCUGAGGUGCGAAAGCGUGGGGAGCAAACAGGG